GACGAACGCUGGCGGCGUGCUUAACACAUGCAAGUCGAACGGAAAGGCCCUGCUUUUGUGGGGUGCUCGAGUGGCGAACGGGUGAGUAACACGUGAGUAACCUGCCCUUGACUUUGGGAUAACUUCAGGAAACUGGGGCUAAUACCGGAUAGGAGCUCCUGCUGCAUGGUGGGGGUUGGAAAGUUUCGGCGGUUGGGGAUGGACUCGCGGCUUAUCAGCUUGCUGGUGGGGUAGUGGCUUACCAAGGCUUUGACGGGUAGCCGGCCUGAGAGGGUGACCGGCCACAUUGGGACUGAGAUACGGCCCAGACUCCUACGGGAGGCAGCGGUGGGGAAUAUUGCACAAUGGGCGGAAGCCUGAUGCAGCAACGCCGCGUGCGGGAUGACGGCCUUCGGGUUGUAAACCGCUUUCGCCUGUGACGAAGCGUGAGUGACGGUAAUGGAUAAAGAAGCACCGGCUAACUACGUG
rnacentral:rRNA from 1 species